rnacentral:lncRNA from 1 species
CUCUUGGAUUUUUUAUUCUCAUUCCGAAUUCGGGUUUUAGGGCCCCGAAUUCUUCCACGAGUGACCUCAAAGCAGAACCGAAGUCCGGAGAGGCAAGUGGGCCAAUAACAGACUUAAAGAAUGGGGACCCUCCACCACUUUCCAGCUCCUGGCCAAUCCCGGGGAUCCUUCCUCUGUCUUUGCCAAUGCGAGCAAUGCCUUCUGUGCCCUCUUCUCCUCGCCUCUUCCAGGCCUUCUGGGAACCAUGGCUGCUCCUUAGGACCCCAAGUACCUAAGCCUCCAGUGAGGAGAGUCUUUGUAUAGCAGUUGCCUCCUUCCGGCAGCCCUCGCGGGGUCUCCAAGCCAGCCCCUUCCACCAGAGCCACUCUCUAAAAGGCCUGCUCUUCUCUAUGAUGCGGGCUCCGAGCGCCACCUAGUGGCAUUUGUAGAGACGCACAACAGCAGCGUACGCCCUCCCGGCACCUCUUCGUCCCCUACCUCUCCUGGAAACCCCACGCCGACCACCGUCACACCACAAGCCCUUACGUUAGCACGCUUCACCUCCACUUCCUGGCACUAAACCGUUAGGAGGAGGCCACGGCAAGGAAAAUCAGGGCUAUGCCUGGGGAGCCCCCUGGAAAGCCGCAGAUGCUGGGGACGAUGCUCUCUCGAGAGAUUGUGUACAGGAUGGGGCUGAGAAAGGGACCACCUCAGGUCUCCGUUGCGGGGGCGGAAGAAGAAAAGAAAGCCCUUCUUGUGGCACCGCAAGCGGCCACUCCUUUGGGUUCACAGACCUCUGCUGGUCCCCAGACACCCCUCUCUUUGCGAGUAAGACAGUGAUGCUCAAACCACCACCCAGGUAAGUGGGGCCCAAAUCUAGCCAAGUUGGGCAGGGCUGGCCCUUAAGGAGAGCCAUCCAAGCAGCCCCUCCCCAUUUGGGAAAGACUCUGAGCUGGACUUAUAGCCUGGUUAUAGCCUUGUGCAUCUGACCAGCCCCAGGAGAGCCAGUGCCUCUAGGCCUCAGUUUGGUCCCUCCACGCUCAGCCUUUCUGCUAACCAGUGACAUUGGCCAUGCCAAAUGUAUCUACUUGCUCUAUCAGCUGGGACACCUGAGUUCUGGGUCUCUGUCUUCUGAGACCAAAGUCCUUCUGAGGCUGUCUUGGAUCCUCACUUGGGAGAAGCAGCUGGGGCUGUGGGGAUGCUUGCCUUAUAUGGCCAUGGUCAUAGGGGGAUAAAGGCAUUAGUCCUGGUACUGGGGGCUUUUACAAGCAGUAGGCAGUCUCGGUGAUGGCCCCCACUGAUCCCUGCUUCCUGUGUAAUCUCUCUCCCCUUGCAGAAUUACCUUCCCUUGGGUGUGGGCUGUGCCCAGAGAUUUGCUUCUAAUAAAUAGAAUAUGGCAAAAGUGAGGGGAUGUCACUUCUGAGGUUAAGUUAUGAAAAGACUGUGGAUUCCAUCUUGCUUGCUCUUUUAGGUUCUCUUGCUUAUUUCAAAUAAGUCAGCUGCCAUGUUGUUUGCUGCCCUGUGGAGAGUCUCACACAGCAAGGAACUGAGGGAAGCUACCAGCCAACAGCCAGUGAGAAACUAAAGUCUUCAGUCCUCAGUCCCAUAGCCCAUAGCCCAUAAGGAAUUGACUUCUAUGAACAACCAUGUAAAUGAACUUGGAAGCAGAUCCCUCCCCAGUCAAGCCUUCCAAUGAGAUUGCAGCCCCAGAUGAUACCUUGAUUGCAACCAUGUGAGAGGAAAGCACACUAGAAGAUGGUUGGAUGAAUGUAUGAUGGGCAAAUUCAUAGUGUCUACCACACCUUCCAUGAAGGUGGCUUGGAUGGAACUCCAUCCUCCCUCCCAGAAAUUCCACGGGCUCAACCCAGCUAGUCCAUCCCCAUGAUCCCUUUUCAUCUAGGCCCAGCCUAACUGUGUCAGGGAAGAAGGACCCUCCCUAUCCCACCCACUGUAAAAAGUGUCUUAUUUUAGUCAAACAUGGCUUUGCUGUCUGGGUAGAAGCAUUGUUCAGGAAUUCUCACUCUGCCUGUCCCUGAAAUGCCAAGGUCAAGCUGGUAGGCUUGAGAUCAUUGUUACAUAUGUCCCCAACUAUUCUUACCAAAAUUUUUGCCUUCAUACCGUAGGUCCUAAUUAGAAGGGCCUCAAAAGAGCUCCCAAACAGAGGGGACUUGGCUUAUUGUCACUCAGAGAAUCCCCCUCAAUGUCAAUCCACCCUGGAGAAUCUCAGUUGUUGGUCCUCUCCAGGUCUGUCCUCCUAGUAUCCUACUGAUGGUAUGAUGUGGGGAGGGCAGUGUCUUUGAAAUAGAAAUAGGAUAUUUCAAUUAGUAUUUCUAUUACCCUAAGAUGUCCUUGAUCUCUGUGGAUGAAAGAAGGAGCUCAGUAAUAACUGUUUCUUACCCACCACUUCUGACUCAGCCCUGAGACUGAGAGUUGGUUAUAACUCAGAGCACGGCCUCCGGAGCUUAUAGUAUCAUGGGAGAAGACAAAGAAAUAAGCACUCACACAACCUCAUGGUGAGUGUGCUGAGAGAAUAAUACCCAGGGUUUUUGGGGAACUGGGGAGAAAGCCCAAUUCUUUCCCAAGGGCAGGGGAGGCUUUGGAGAGGGUAAGAAAGUGUUGGGUCCCCUGAAAGAAGAGAAGACAUUCCAGACAGAGGAAAUGACAUGCACAUGGUCACUUAGGUGUGAGAGAGUGUGGUGCACUCGGGGAACCACAUGCUAUUUGGUAGAGAUGGCACUCCAGUGAGGGAGGGAGACAGGAACCGCUGAAGGACUUUUAUUUUAACUGGCAUGGAAAGAGGUCCAAGAUGGGUUAUCAAAUGAAUAAAGCAACUCACGUGAGAGUGUGUUUGGUGUGACUCCUUUGUAUUCAGUGGUAAAGAUAUAUCUAUCUAUGCAUCUGCUUGCAUGCGAAUGUCUGGAAACUUAUUGAAAGAAAACACAUGAAAUCAACACUUGAUAUUUGUGGGGGGAUGGAUUGGAUGGAAAGGAGAGAAGAGAAAGGAGUGGAGAAAGAGGGGCGCUCCUCCAUUUUGCCCCAACCACUUUGUACUGUUUCCAUUUACAUUAUUUUACAAUAUUGAUAUGUUAAAGUAAUUGCAUGAAUGAAGUGACAUAACCAUAUUUUCCUUACAGAAAGAUUACCUUCACGAGAUUUGGGCAACAGUUUAAAUGUGGGAUGAAUAUUGGAUGCAAUUAAAGAAUUAUUGUUAGUUUGAGCCAUAUAUGAAAAGAAUCUUAUUCUUCAGAGGUGAAUACUAUGAUAUCUUAUGAACCUAAAAGGAUUUGUUUUUCUUUCCUUUUUUUUUUUUGGAGAGAGGAUGCACAUGAGAGAGUGUGAGUAGGGAGGGGCAGAGGAAGAGAGAGAAUCUAAAGCUCGAGAUGACACUGGACGCACAGGGCUAUGAGAUCAUGACCAUGAGAUCCUGACCUGAGCCGAAAUCAAGAGUCAGAUGCUUAACCGACUGAGCCACCUAGGCACCCCCUAACUUAAAAGGAUAUCUAAGCCCUGGGGAGACUCAACAAGAGCUG